CUUGUUCGACGACGACGACCAAACGCCGCCCAGGCAGAACGGCCGCCGGAACGUCGACCAGCACAACAGCGACGACGGCGACGUCGACAGCGUCCGCGUGUCGUGCUACGGCGGCGUCGCAAAGCCAAAGGCCAAGUCGUCGUCGACUGCGAAGGACGUCGUCGUCACCGGCCGUCCUGCUGCAGGCUCCAACCGUACCUGAUCUUAUUCUUAGUAUAGCUAACUAGCGAUCGAGCUCGAUCCAGAAUUUGAAAUUUCGGAAAUUUUGCCCCCCACCGAAAUACUCACAUCUCGUCCGAAAUUUUCGGUUUUUUAUAACUUUUUAUGAAUUUUGGUCAAAAUUUAUUCUAAUUUAUUUAAAAUCAGUCAAAAUUUCAAAAAAAAAUCGUAUGAAAAAAAUCCGAAAUUUUGGAAAUUUCAGUUCUUUCGCCCACCUGCGGCAGAAAUCUUACUUCCGAAAUUUCAAACCCUGGCUCGAUCUCAUCUCGCACCCUUGAUCAUGUCGAGCAACCUUGUGUUGAUGAUCGACAUGGUCACUCUAGCUAGCUAGUUAUUCGUAUCAAUGUUGAAUAACAUGCAUAUGCAAACAUGACCGUCUCCAAUUACUGGUACAGACGACUACUUACAGAGUGAGCUGUAUGUUACGAGAAUGUACUUUACGAAAUACUACUAUGAACAUAGUACUAAAAUUGAAAAUCUCUCGAUUCUGUUUGUGUUGCCUCUACUCAACAAAGCUAAGUGAAAUACUACUAUGAAAUUUCCUGCACAGUUCUCCACCUUCUGUUGAAAUCCACUCUAUUCGUUUUGUACACCUGCAAUGACAAGACAUGUAAUAAGCUCCUCAGACAACACAUCAUCAGAGUAAGUUUAAAUGUUUAAUAUUUACCCCGUCACAAAAAUAAUGCAGUUCUUACAUUUAAAUUUUGUUAAAAUUAAAAACAAUUAUAGAAUACUACUCAUCCCUCCAAUAGAGAAGAGUCAAUAGAUGACAAUAGAAAGGGAACGUACGCAGAUACCAGUCUAUAUGACGGGCCAUCCAUUAGAGACACAAUUAAUUAUGGUGAAACAGAGAAGAUCGAUGAUGAUGAAAGCAUAAGAUUUCAAAUUUUCUUUCCAUCCUACACAACACUCUCCACCCUUAUAACCACUGCUCAUUUAAUGGGUGACAUAUAAAUUAAUCAUUUCAGUUAUACCUACUAAUUUAUCUUUUAAAUGAUAUAUGAUCAUAUUCGUUUCGGGUUGAAGGGAGUAAUAUAGAUAUGCUAUGGAAUCUCAUCCAAAUAACGCUAAGCAUGUAUACCUAACGGUACCAAAUAUGAUACCCUGUAGGUAUCGAUGAUACCCCGUCAGUACUAGCUCCGGGUACCUAUUAGUACCGGGCCGAUAUCCUAUUUAGAGAUGGCAACGGGGCUGCCCCCACCAGGUAAUGCUAACCCACCUGUCCCAAAUACCUGAAAAUCGAACUUUAGAAUCAGAGAACACAACAAGCAAUUAAUGAAGCGAUACACAACACCAUACUAAACAUGAAGGGAUGAUGAGUAACCAAUUAAUCAUCACCAACAAAAACUACGUAGAAAAAGCAUUGAUGCACAUAAUUCUUUAGCGGGAAGACUAGACGAAGCAAUGCAACGCAGUUUGGAGUUGACAUAGUGCUAGCAUUGCUUGGAGACAGGCGAAGCCAUCGAGUACAGGAGGAAGCACCGGUGGCCUGGAGGAUGUGAGGAUGCAUGGUGUGGUGCCCGCGUGUGUCCUACAGGACUCCUUGAGGUGGCGCGGAUGUGCCCCAAUCCCUUGACCCGGAAGCAUCGCUUACUUGUCAUGUUAGCCUGGACUUCUAGUGGCAGCUCUGUAGUGCCUGGAUUUGGACCGGAGUGGAGGAGAGCAUUCUCUCCCCAAUUUAUUUGUGUGAGAACUAGGGUUGUAGUGUUUGUAUCUAUAUGUGUUGUACACGGGGGACAUAGCGAUUCGGGGACAAGGGUCUAGGGAACGUCCCCGGAACCGAUCCAUCAAAUGGGGGAGUUUUUUCAUGUUUAGAGCCUCAUGGAUCGGGAUAGUGGCCCAUUUGCAGCCCCUAAUAGAUGUUUUACCCACCAGGGAUUAGGGUUCAGGCCCCAUUAACAUCCCUAAUCCCAUCGGUAAUAGGCUAAUACCCCAUCAUUAUCAAGCCUAAUACAUGUGAUACCAAACCUGGUACAUGCAGAUCUGGUGAGUAGUACUAGGCCUAGCUAAUUAUUAAGGAGAUAACUAGUUGAAACUAUUCCUGAUACGUUUAAUGUUUUUUUGGUUAUUUAUAAGUUCAUUAGUUUUGAUAUCUUAAAAUGUUAUAUUUUCGUGCUUCAUAUAGCUAUAUCCAUGUUCACAAUUUCGUAAAACUUACUAAUUCCUAACCUUUGAUCAAUUCAAUUUCUUUCACAGCUUCUUAUAUGCACAGUUCACAAGCCCAAAUUAUGGGGGCGUUUGUUUUGUUUGGUUAACCUUGCCAUGCCAUAUUUUAGUCAUGCAUGUUACAAUUUGUUAGAUAGGUGUUUGCUUCAAUUUAAGCUUGUCAGACUUUAAUUUUCUUUUACUUGGCCUUAUAUGUCACAUGAACAUUUUUGUUGGCUAAUAAUGUCACAGAACUAUUUAAUAUAUAAGUAUAUGUAUUACUCAGGAAGUAUAUACCUCAUAACUAACAAAAUUGGUAUGUGUACCUUAUAUACUUCCCGAGAUUUAGAAAAGCUUUGUCAUUGUCAAUCAUAAAUUUAUCUUAUAAUAUGUUUAAUCAAUUUAUUUUUUUAGGGAGGUAUAUACCUCUCCAAGGAUAUAUAAGAACCUCUAUAAGGGUCUUUACUUCCGUGCGGUUAAUACGUGCGUAGCGCUCAGUAUAUCAUAGUUUAAAUAAUCAUAAAAUUAUAAUAUUUAGAGCAUCAUUAAAAAUAACUUGUGCAACACACGGGUUGACGACUAGUAUUACAUAAUCACAUUAUUUAAAAUAUCAAUCAAGGCCCAAAUUGUAGGUGCCCCACUUAUUUGAUGUAUUAAAUUAUUACAACAUUUUGGUAACACCGACAAAAUAUAUCACUAAUGCUGAGGAUCUGAACUCCACGAGCGCGCACACAAAUUAAUCCACACACAUAUAUAUGUAUAGCUAAGAUGACAUAAGAUAAUUACCAAUAGGGUAGGGUUUAUUUUUGAAGCUGAAUUAAGCUUUUAAUGAAGCCUUAAAUCUUCGAAAUGAACUUAAAAGUUAGGUAGUACUAGCAUUAUUCCAAGUAAAUAAAUUUUAUCCAAAUUUGAAAGUUAAUUAGGAGCGAAAAAUAACUGAUCAUAAUUAGUUGGGCAUGGAAUGAAGGGCGAGGUGUAUCAUUUGGGAUAGAAGGCGACGGUAGUCUGCAAGACAGUGGAGAUGGCGAGAAGAGUGGAGACGAUGAGCGCGAGGAUUUUGACAGGGCUGUCCAUGUACUUCUUGGCCUCCGCCCAGUAACGAUACGCUUUGUUCUGGCUGCAAUCCCUGAGCCCCUGCAGCACCUUGCCGAUGUGUGUCUUCUCCUCCGUGCCGCUCCGCUGAUUACCUCGGCAUAGGUUCUUGAAGUACUCGAUGAUCUGCAUAUAUAUAUAUAUAUAUGCGCGCGGUAAUUAACUGAUAACGAAUUGAGAAUUCAGAUACAUGUAUGUAUUCGUGACGAGAUUGAUCGAAUGAUAAGUAUAUAUAUACUGACCGUUUCAUGGCUUCCGAAGUUGUUGAGGAGGACGCCCUGCUCCUGGAGCACGGCGAUGUCGUCCGUGGAGCUGACGAGGUUGUACAUGAGGAAGGCGUAGGUGGUGAAGUAGUCCCGGGGGUGCUCGUCGUCGUUGCUCGGUGGUGGCGUGCCCUGCUGCUCGUACGCGACGAGGUUCUGCAGCAGCUGCACCGUGCCCUGGUCGACGGUAAGCGCCGGCACCUCCAGAACCGGCGACAAGAGGCCAUUCCUGAGCCGCACGUCCAGUAUUCCGCCGCGUUUCGUCGGCGCCUUGCUGAUCUUGACGCCGAGGCCACGCAGCUGCGCCGCCGACACGAUGUUCGCCUUCGCCUUGGCGUCGUCGUCGUCCUUGUCGUGGCCCUGCUGCUGCUGGUUGGUGGCGCUGCCGUCGCGCCGGCGGAGGCCGAGGACGGCGCCUUUGUCGUCGUCGACAUUGACGAGGUGGGCGUGGGCGAGGUGCAGCAGGUGCAGCAGGUGGUGGACCUCCUUGUCGGCGAUGAGCUUGUACAGCUCGUCGCUCUCGUCCUCGGGGAGGACGAACCACCCCUUGAGCAUGUACCACAUCGCCAUGACCAGCAGCUUGUGCCUCUUCCUCUGCCGCAUCAUCGUCUUGCGCUGGAAGGUCUGCGGCGUGAUCAUCAUGCCGUCGUCGCCUACGUCGCGCGUGAUCUUCCGCUGGAGCUUCCGCGGCGUGAGGUGGUAGAAGAUCUCCUCCAGCACGAAGAAGGGGAUCUGGUUCUCCAGCAUGCCGAGGUCGAUGCGCAGCUGCGCCGGCGACCACCGCGUCGCGUACAGCUCCUCCUCGUUGUACCCCUGCACGAAGUUGUAGAGGUGCUUGAUGAUGAAGCACCCGUCGUGUAGCAGCAUCCUCACCAUCUCCUCAUCCUUCAUCUCGCGCACGUACUCCUCCUCCGCGUAAAACCUAGGACCUCCACGACCAAAUUUCAGUUUCGCUAUUCUUGUCGGGGAUUUGGAUUGUUUUUGUUUUUUUAGCAAAAUUUGGUCUAACGAGCAAAUCUACGGUUCUUGAGGAGGUACCAUGAGGUACCAAAAAUUUAGUGUAAAAUUUGGUACCUCAUUGUACCUCAUAGUACCUAAAUACUAAGAGGUACCAAAUUUACAAUAGAAAAAGUGGUACCUCAUUGUACCUCCUCAAGUACCGUAAAAUUACUCUCAAAUAAAUCUUGCUAAGUUCACAAAAUAAUUGAAAAUUUUAAAAAUUUUGGUCCAAAUAAUUUCGUUGGGGGGUUUGGGUGUUGGUAGGUUGGUAGGAGUGUAGACAUGAAGUUUUUAUCCAAAACAAGAAGGUAAUGCACGGGCAUGUAUCGCAGGGCCAUAUUUCAAACACUAUAAGGGUGGGAUAUAAGACAGAGAACAUUUUUGAAACAUAAACUGGAAAUAAAGCUCGCACAGAUGCGUUGACAUCUUAUUUGUUGUUCAAGGGAAAGAAUGGUAAAAUAAAUCAUACAUCACUAUAUACACGGUAAGGAAAUAAUGUAAAUUAUCUAACAAUAAAAAAAAGAAAUAUAUUGCCUAAAAUAGAUGGUAGAUUUUAAUAUACUACUAAAUAUGAUAAGAAUAAGAAUAUCUCUCAUAUUUAAAUAAAAAUCCCGUUGUCAUGGUCAUAUAUAAACUCCCCUAUUGUUAUUGUUUCAAAAGCUAUAUGCAUUUUUAAUAAAUGAAAUGACAUAUUCCACUUCUAUGUAUAAAUAGUCUAACCAUACCACUUCUAUCGGAUAAUACAAUAACACCAUUAAAAAUAGACAUGAAUAUCUCUCUAACGGAUGAAGCCGACUGUAACUACUAGAGCUUUCUUAUGUAAUGCCCUGAAACAUCGGACCUACAUCGACGUAGCCGUGCCCCCAAAGACCAGCCUAUAGCAUCAUUUUAACACUUAAUUCACUAUCGUCACACUCACAAAGGAUUCCAUUAGUUAGUAUUUCCCUUUAGAUACAUUGCCUACAGUAGCCUUUCACUGACACCACCUUAACUUAACCAUAUGUAUACCCUUGCAAUAUUUACGAUAGCAUAGUAAACACUACACCCUGCAUUGAAGGACAGAGAGGGACAGAAAGGAGGAGGUAAUGAAAAUAGUUAUAAUUUUUGCCCCUACUUAUUUGUGUGUAGUAUUAUUUUUAACAAAAUCGUAGUUUAAAAGGCUAUUGACAACACAUAAGUGCCGGACUGCUGACGUUGAUGAUUUUUCUUGAUUAGAACUAUUUCUUUGAUUUUACUAUUGAUAUUUUUUUUGAUUUAUCGUUUUUCUCCAUAGUAUAUGACAUAGGUAAUUAAGUUUUUUUUUCCGGAAAGUGAGAUGAUCGUACGAAGUACACAUACGUACGUUAUUCUUUUUCGGGAUGGAGAUUAGCAGCGUGGGAGUUUUGAUAUAUCUAAACUAACGGUUUAAAAUAACAGGUCCACCAAUUUAACUGAAAAUUGAAAGUUGGAUGUUUUUCUUUUUUCUCUGAUUUUUUAGGAUUUCUCUAAUUUAUUAGAGUGCCACGUGGCGACGUAGGAACGUUGUAGGAAGUUUAAUGGACUUUUAGUAUAUAAUAGAUAGAUUUUGAACCAUGUACAUUAUCACAGUCAAAAGCGGAUCCAGGAUAAGAUAUAUUAUAUGAAUUUAUUUUGGGACUAAGAGGGUACUGUAUAUAUAUGCCUGUGUCUUAACUCCGACGGGGAAAAAAAUAUAAGACUAGUUCAUACUCUUUCAACAAUUGAGCUGUAAAAUUAGUACCCCUACUGUUUUUACCUGACGAUUAAUUUGGAGAUCUCUAUACAGUUUCAACUGCACAUAUUGAUCAAUACGCUUUAGAAAUAUAUUUAAAAGUUUUUAAAAUUAUAGCUUCAUAAAAGUACUUGUCAUAAUGAAUUUAUUAACAUCAUUUUGCAUAAAGUCUUAAUUUUUAUACAUUAAUGAUUUAAAAUUUUGAUGUUUCACGCACAAGUUCUUGAACGCCGAAAACCCGUUUUUCAUUUUCUAGUUUGGUUACCACAAAUCAUGUGUGCAAUACCUAUACUAAUUCGGUACUCAAAAUGGGCAAAGCUAUUGAAAAGUAAGGAAUGGAUUCUAAUCCUGGGAUGUCCCCUUUGUUUCUUUUUCUUCCGAAACCUAUGUAAAUAGUUAUAAAAAAAUUAAUACAAAUUGAAUAGUGAUAUAUUGAACUCCACCAAAAAUUAAAUUUAAAUUUGAUCUGCACAUUAAGAAAAAAAAACAAACUCAACUAUGAAUAUAUAAUACCACUAUUAUUCAUAUGUUAAAUUUGUCUUUUUUAUAUCUCAAUUUGUGAGUUUGACUUUAGAUCUAAGAUUAUAUAUAAUGGCACAUAUAUGUUGUAUGAAUGUUAUAUAUUUUUUUCAGAAUUUUUCAUAGUUAUUUGAAGGGUUUUUAGAUAAAUGAGAGGACAUUCUCUCGAGGGUUUAAAACAGUAUAUAUCGCCUGAUAAAGAUAUGGUUGAUGGUUAGAAGGAUCAUAGUGUCACAAUUGGAUUAAUUAAUAUGCUGUUGAAAAUAGUACUAGUACACUUCAGGUUUUUUUCAUUGUCAUUAUAUAUUCAAUUUUAGUUGUCCUAAAUAUAGUUGUUCCUAAAUUCGAGAUUAAUAUAUAUGAAAUUGCAUAUAGGUUGGACUCGUGAAUUAGUUUUUUAAAAUAAUUAUGGAAUCGAAAAUAAGUUGUAACUGACGUCGACUUUCUAAUCUAAUCUGGUAUAAUUUGGAAAAGAACAGUACAUUGUGUAUGCGAUUGAAAUUUUAAUGUUUAUUCAAACUAGAGUAAUUAUCAUAAAACAUGAAAUUACAUAAACCGCUUAUGUUAUGGCUUGUGGCGUAUAACUACGGGUUUUAUGGUAUACAUGUUUUUGAAACCCUACCAUUAUUCAAAUCUCAUUUGCAUAUCUGAAAAAAAUAAUUUUCAAAAUAGUGAAGCUAGAAUUUAAACUACCAACCUUAAUUAAUAAAUCAACAAUUAUAAUUUUCAUAUACAGGCUAUGUUUUAAAAUUUUAAAUAAAUUUGUGCUCAACAUACAUAUGCAUGGUGUGGUUUUGUGAAAACUUUAGAACCAUUAUAAAUAGGGUUCACAUGUCAUUAAUCAUAAAGCUUUUUAUGCAACAUUCAUAGUAAAACGUGUGGUUUUCUGAAAUUUCACACUUGCCCGGGAGUAUAUUGCAUUUCUAUGUAAGCAAGGGAAAAAAAGUUUAGGCAACCAACAACAAUCUUCUGUUAUAUACUGAAAAGCCCACUAAUUAAACCUUUUACAAACGCUUCUAAACCAGCACGUGGCACUCGUACAAACGCUCCUAAACUGUCACAUGUCAUGUCUAUAAAUUAAGAGAAAUUUCAAAAAUUCUUAAAAUGGAAAAGUACCCAGCCGUUGAUAUUCACUUAAAUCCAUUAUUUUAACUAUUAAAUUAGAUAUCUCUACCGUUAUAAAAGUUGAAGAUGUUUUUGCCGGUAUUUUGGUACGUCAUCCGUGUUUGAGUCAGUUUUAAGUUCGUUCGCUUUUGGAAUACAUAUCAGUGUUUGAGUCGGAUUUUAAGUUCGUUUGUUUUUAAAAAUACGAAAAGAGUCGUAUAAGAAAUUUUGUAAAAAAAAAAACUUGCAUACUAACUUGAGAUAAAAAUCGGACUCCCACAGUGAAUUUCACCUUAGCUAACCGUAUAAUAAUAAUAAGAUUGAAAUAGCAUCCACCCGUUGCAACGCAUGGGCAUCUUUUAUAGUAUUAAAUAAAGUAAAUCCCUUCCUGCUAACACCCGUAAUUAGCAUGUAUGGUAGAUCACUCUCGAAGGAGUGGAGAGACGUGCUACGACGUACGUACUCCCACGGUCAUAUAAAAAAUCAACUUUUGGAAUGAAUUUGGACAAGUAUUUGUCAGGUUUAUCCCCAGAAGUUUUUUUUUUUUUUGUGAGGGGGAGGGGGGGGGGAUGAUGUAGGUACUUACCAACGAAUAUCGUCCACAAUCUCCUGGAGGCUGCUUUUGCAGCGUUGGAGGAUGCCUCCAUGCUUGUGGUCGUCAGGCUCGACGUCCCUGAGGAGCUCGUGGAGGUAGCGCUUCUUGAGCUUCUCGCCGCAGAGGCGGUUGCGAUCGCCGGCGCCGGCGUGACGACGAUGGUACGGGCCGACGGACACGAACUUGGGCGCGUACGCUUCCUCCUUGUUGAUGGCGCGCACCUGCUCCGGGACUCGCCACAGACGGUACUUCUUCGUCUUCCACCGGAACGACAGCGACGAUGGCGGGAGGUCGCCGCCAUCGUCGUUGUCGUCGUGGAUUAUGUUCACCCUCACCUCCGGCAGCUGCUGCUGCCCUGCCUCGUCCAGAAAAACCAUUUCUGUAGUAGUGUCAUCACCGUUUCCCAUAAUAUGUAUCUUAUUGUACGUACGCAGCAUGCUGCAUGCACUUAGUUAUCCAAUUCCAAGUAUAUAUAGGCACGUCGUCGAUCGAUCGUCCGACCGGAAUUUGAGAUGGCGUGUCGCCGGCGGCGAUCGAUCGGCGUGAUGGUGGUGCAUGCGACAAUGGCAUAAAAUAAAGGAAGAAGCCUCUUCUCUGGCCUAAUCGAUUCUUUUUGGUUGGCAAAUGGACGUAUCAAGCGAUCAGUGCAAGCUUUGAUGUUCUCAUGCAUGCAUGCUGAUCUGUAUGUAAGCUAGCCCCUUUAAUCUUCUUCUUUUUUUCCUCUUCACUAAUACAGUUAGCAUCUCAACCUUUUUUCCUCUUCACUAUAUAUAUAGCUAGCUAGAAUCGUCAAGCUUUUCCUUAUGUUGCUACCUGCUCAUGAAGUAAGCUCAGGUUCUUCUUCCUAUAUUAGUCUAUAUACAGAUAGUGCAUACGUACGUAAUAGAAAGAGCCCUGUAGAUGGAAAGGUUCUUUUUUUUUCAGUCGUAUGGACAUACGUCGUUUCAUGAUCAAUGCCGUCAAAAAAUUAUUUUUUAGAAAAAUAUACUAAAAUAGAUUAAUAUGUGAUAUUUUGCUAUAUAAAAGUGCAAGUAAAUAUUCGACUCAUACAACCAGAAACAAAGACAAUAACAAAUAUCAACCAUGAAUUAUACGCACACCUUUUUCAUGGUCAUAUAUAUUGGUUGUUUUUGGUUCACACACAUUUGUAAUUUCUAGUUGUGUAUAUUAAAUCUAAACUUGCAUGCAUGUUUGUGAAGUGAUAUAUCUCACAUAUUGAUAUAUUUUGUAAAAAAAAUAUUACUUUUUAUGACCUUUUUAGUUGACAUGCUUUAGUUGGCAUGCGCGCAUAAAAUAGUCUAUGUCCACUCAAAUGAUAAAAAGACUUUCAUAUGUACAUGGGAUUUUACAUGGAUGUUCAGCAAUUACUCAUUUCAUCUACUUCUGGAAAAGUCAUUUCAUCUUAAAGAAUGCCCUCUCUUUUUAUAUCCAUCCAAAUAAUUAUGAUUUAUUUAAGGGAACAUAUCAUAUGCACACAACAUUCCUAUGCAUAUACUCCGUGCAUAUCAACUAACAAAUGUCACAGAAAAUUCUAGAAAAAUUGGACACAUACUUCUAAUAGUAUUACAUCUACGUGUGAAAUCUUAUCUUCAAAUUCGUUAUAUUUUAACCGUAACAAAAAAGACAAAAUUUUGAUAGAUUUUUACCCUUAAAACUGUCAGAUUUUUCACUUUUUGGUUACAGCUAAAAUAUAAUGAAUUUGAAAAUGAGACUUUGCAUAUAUGUGUAAUACUAUUAGGAGUAAAUGUCCAAUUCUUUUAGAAUUUUUCGUGACAUUUGCUAGUUAGUGUGUGCGGAGUGUGCACGGAAAGCUUGUGUGUAAGAUAUGUUCCUUAUUUUGAAGAGAUAUAUCACUCCACGAACAUUGAUAACAUGUGUUUGUAAGUUUUAAGCUAUGUAGAGGUAGCAUAUCAAAUAUUUAAUAGAGUUAUAUACAUUGAGGAAAGGUCCUGAUCUUUCGAUAGGUAUGAAUAACUCUCGAUUUGGUGGAAACUUGAUACACAUGAUUCGGUUUCCGAUCAACACGAUCUAAACCCUGCAAUUGUAGCAUCACGGCUUCUCUGGUUAUCAACCAUACGCUGCUAUGGUUGAUCUCACCGAGAAGGCUAAUCUCUGCAUACGAAUCGAAGAAUACAAGAAAGAACAGUAUAGAUUGCAACUCAAGGUGUUGUCGUUUCGUGUUCAACAGAAAUUAAUUCACCCUUUAAUUGGUUGAAGCAACAAAAAUUAAUCUUGGUUGCCUGUGCGCACACAGGGCAUUCUAUGGUGCACAUUUACUUUUUGUCCAAAUAAACAAAGCGACGAUUUGUGAUAUGGUGAUUCUUUUGAGAAAACAUAAAAAAUUCUAGAUGAUAAUCAAACUGGGAUGGAGGGAGUAGUACUUUACCGUACGCAGCAUCGGCCGCUGAAUUGAAUGCAAAAGAAGAUAUAUUGUCAUCAAGGAAUAUAUGCCAGAAAAAAACUUUGAGCUUUAUGCCAAUUGAGGGAGAGCUAUAAUUUUUUAUAUCUUAUUGCUGCACGCUCAAUAUAUUCUUUCUACUUUUCAAGUGAAAAAGUAGUCAUAAAAGGUGGUGUGAAUCUCUUUUUUUCGAUAAAGCUAACGCCCACUAAAUACAUAAAGCUUAACAUGCAAGUAUAGUAUUUAUUAGCACUUUAAAACCUACAUACAAGCAUGUCAUAUCAACCCAUUAAGCAUACAAAACUUAACAUGUAAGCAUAUAGUAAUUAUAUAUACAAUUUAUUUCAUGCACAAGCUAAAUCAUCAUUCUCAAAAGCACGAAUUACCCUCCCCCGAAUUAUCGCGGUCGACCGAAUUACCCCUCUAAACCCGAAAACCAAACAUCGUUCACCCUGAACUUGUAAUAUCGGACAAAUUACCCCUCUUACCUAAAUUUAGAGCGGUUUUGUCCUACGUGGCGUACAUGUGGCGGUCUAGUCAACAUUUUAUUUAUAAAAAAAAUAUGGAACACACCUGUCAUACUCCUCUCUCACUCUUCCUCUCUCUUUCUCGCCGGUCGACGGCGGCGAGCGACGCCGAGCGGCGGCGGCCGUGGCCACUACAAGGAGCCGCCCCUCGGCGCGCGGACGGAUGGAGGCUGGUGCAGGCGGCGGCGCGGGACACGAAGACGGAGGCGGAGGUGGCGGCGGCGGAGGAAGAAGACGUGCUAGCAGAGCAGUGCAGACGAGCAGCAAUGCGCAUACUCCUGCCCAUUGCCAGGAAAGAAGACGACGACGGCGUGUGUAGGCGAGCUAGCUAGCUAGCACGUCUUCUUCCUCCGCCACGGCCCAACGAGGCAGCCGGCAAAGCUAGGCAGGCGUACGAACUCGUGGCCAGGAAAGCUGCCGGCGUCGCGCCGUGCAGGGGCCAGCCUGCCGUCCAUCAUCAAUGCCUAUGUCAGGGUCUCGGGCCGGCUGCACAUGGGCCGCUAGGCAACCCGUCGCCAAGAAGAAACAGAACAGAACUGGCAAUCGGCGGCUUCGGCCACGGCGGCGGCGGCGACUAGGUUUGGGCAAGAACCUUGUCGAUCUCUCUCCCUUACUUCUCCUUCUUCCUACCAGCCACUACACUCUUCUUGUCUCCCUCUAUAGAACCUUCUAGAAGCUUGUAAUACUCAGCUACUUCGCUCAAUUCCACCUCAAAUUGGUUUAGAUACUGUUGCUUGCUAUUUGCUUGGUGCAUCGGGUUGCUAACAGCCUAAAGGGAUCCUAUGUCUCGACGCAAGCAGCUAGCAGCACAGUGCAGCUCUGCUCUGCUGCUCUGAGAGAUUCGGUCGUCUGCACUGCCGCGUCUUACUUACACGGGGCACCUCUUCAACGACGACGACGACGCCGCCGCCGUGGCACCGGCCACCGCCGAGACGACGCCGCUUUGGACGCUAGCCCGCUCCCACUCCCACAGCCCUGCCCCGGCGGCGCCGAGCCGGCAUCACGGUCGCAUCACCGACCGCGAACAAUGGUGACGACGACUACUCGGCGGCGGCGUGCAGCAGCAGGUGGACAGGAAGGCUGCCUCCGUGUCACCCGCGGCCGCCGCCGCUCCGUGUCACCCGCCGCCGCCGACCAGUGAGAGAAGAAGAGUGAGACAGAGUGAGAGAGAGGAAGAGUAUGACAUGUGGGUCUCAUAUUUUUUUAUAAAUAGAAUGCUAACUGGACUACCACGCGUAUGUCACGUAGAUUAAAAUCACCGCGGAUUGGGUCGAGGGAGAUAAUUCGUUCGGUUUGCAUAGUUGGGUGUGAAGAAUGUCUGGUUUUGCGAUUCAGAGGGGUAAUUCGUACGUUUUCCUUUUCAUAAUAUUUCAAUCCAAAUUGUUUUAUUAUUUCUCCAUUAUCUAACAUAUAUCUCGCAGCAAAGCGCGGGGCAUCAUCUAGUAUAUUUAUAUGGGUGUGUAGCCCAAAUUUAGUACCCUAUUCAUUAGUAAUACAUGAAACUCUAAUCAGUGUCUGUUUUCUUAAUUUAACAAUAUAAUUAAUUCUGUUAUACCCUAACUUCAAAAAGUUGUAAAGAAGUAGUACUUGCAAAAUUGUAAAAUAUCUCAUGAAUGUAAACUGUCGCCGCGCGGUUUUCAAUUUGGAAAAAAACAGGUUUCCUUUAGUUUGCAGUGUUUAUACUUUUGCGCAAAUCAGCGGCCGCUUUAAUACCACUCAAAGAACUUGACCUUUAAAUCAGCGGCCGCUUUGUUCCACUUGCAAGUGGGACAAUGGUAGCCGUAAAUUGAUCGUACGUGCGGCUGAAUUUUUUUCUGCCGACGCCAUCAGAUGCGCUGAAUUUUGAUCAUCGCCAGAAAAUUAAGAGAGAAAAGAUCGAGUUAGCUAGCGUGGAAUAUCGCCAAGGAAUAUAUGCACGCUUGCGCUUUAAUUACUUGAAUGCAUAUUGUGCCACACGACAACUAAUUUUCUGUCCAGACGUACUGCUUUUGGAGAGAAAUUUCAUCAAAAAGCAUAUGCCGAUCAUGUUGGACUUUUUGCUUUGUUUAAUUUCGUCGAUCCCUUCCUUCACUCGAUCAAGCUUCCACCGUAAAGGUUUCACGCGUACGUCGUGUGUUGGCCGACGUGCUGGCCGUGGCUGGCAUGUAUGUCUUGAUAGAUGCGUUUUUGUGCAUCGACCUAGCAAACAGCAGCUAUAUAUAUAUAUAUAGAGAGAGGAGGGUCUUGCAAUAUCAAUCCAUCAUCACAACUCAUCAAACUCAGAUCGAUUGUCAUUGAGAGCGAGCAACUAGCGCUAGCUACUACUCGAAGGCAAAAUGGUAAGUAAAUCUCGUAUACAUAUAUGAAGUAAUUAGUUAUUUGGCAAUUAGAUGUUGCUGUAACCCAUUUCCAUUAUCUAAAAAAAAAAGAUGUUGCUAGCUAGUGCAUAUAUAUUCAUUUAUAUGCAUGAUCGAUACUGCUGGCCGGGGCCGCCGGAUACAUCUGAAUUAUUAGACGUAGAGGCCGGAUUAAUUAUGUCAUCUUAAAGAGAAACUAAUUUAAUGGUUAUGAUGUAUAUAUAUGCAGGACGUGAUGGAGAAGUCUCGGCGAGCUCACUUCUUGUUCGACGACGACGACCAAACGCCGCCGAAGCAGAACGGCCCCCAGAACGACGACCAGCACAACAACGACGACGGCAGCGGCUGCCUCUGCGUGUCGUGCUACGGCGGCGUCGCAAAACCAAAGGCGCCCAAGUCGUCGUCGCCGGCGAAGGACGUCGUCGCCGGCGGCCGUCCUGCUGCAGGCUCCAACUGUACCUGAUCUUACUCUAACCAUAUAUAGCUUGCUAGCGAUCGAGCUCGAUCUCAUCUCGCACCUAGCUUGAUCAUGUCGAGCAACCAUGU
rnacentral:lncRNA from 1 species